AACGAACGCUGGCGGCGCGUCUUAAGCAUGCAAGUCGAACGGCAAGAUUGGUGCUUGCACCGAUCCUAGAGUGGCGGACUGGUGAGUAACGCGUGGGUGACGUACCCUAAGGAUGGGGAUAGCUGGUAGAAAUAUCAGAUAAUACCGAAUAUCCUUAUUGUUGUUAGAGGACAGUAAGGAAAGGAGCUUUGGCUUCGCCUAAGGAUCGGCCCGCGUACUAUUAGCUAGUUGGUGAGGUAACGGCUCACCAAGGCGACGAUAGUUAUCCGGCCUAAGAGGGUGAACGGACACAUUGGGACUGAGAUACGGCCCAGACUCCUACGGGAGGCAGCAGCUAAGAAUAUUCCGCAAUGGAGGAAACUCUGACGGAGCGACGCCGCGUGGAUGAUGAAGGCCGGAAGGUUGUAAAAUCCUUUUAAGCAAGAAGAAUAAACUUUACAGGGAAUGGUAGAGUGGUGACGGUAUUGCUUGAAUAAGCAACGGCUAAUUACGUGCCAGCAGCCGCCGUAACAC
rnacentral:rRNA from 1 species